rnacentral:lncRNA from 1 species
CAGGAUGUUCUAAGACGUCGACUAUCUGAAGAGCUUGUUGAUGUAUAACGUUCGUUUUUAAUGACUUUAAAGGGCACCCAUAUUCUGAGGCACUGGGCAUUUUCAGCUGAAGACACAGUGACUCUGAAGCAGAUGUCCUUCCUGGGGCCUGAGAUGCUGUGUGACCUGUCCAAAGGUUCAGUAC